rnacentral:rRNA from 1 species
AUGUUUACAUGAGUGGUAGAGGAGCAUUCUUGCAACCGAUGAAGCUGUACCGUAAGGAGCAGUGGAGGAACAAGAAGAGAGAAUGCCGGAAUGAGUAGCGAGAUGAAGGUGAGAAUCCUUCAGGCCGAAUAUC